CAUAUACUUACUCCGUCCCAAAAUUCUUGUCUUUGAUUUGUCUAGAUAUGAAUGUAUCUAGUCAUGUAUUAGUAUUUAGAUACAUUCAAAUUUACACAAACCUAAGACAAGAAUCUCGGGACGGAGGGAGUAUCUU
rfam:Hordeum vulgare subsp. vulgare, WGS project CAJW01000000 data, contig: morex_contig_118293